rnacentral:rRNA from 1 species
GACAGAGGUGCCGAGCGUUAGGCGGAAUCACUGGGCUUAAAGCGUGUGUAGGCGGGUCGUUAAGUGUCUUGUGAAAUCCCCCGGCUCAACCGGGGAAUGGCUGGGCAUACUGGCGAUCUUGAGCAGUCUAGGGGCAGAUGGAACAAGUGGUGGAGCGGUGAAAUGCGUAGAUAUCACUUGGAACGCCAAAGGUGAAAACAAUCUGCUGGGGACUUGCUGACGCUGAGACACGAAAGCCAGGGGAGCGAACGGG